rnacentral:lncRNA from 1 species
AAAAUAAAACCAGAUGCUCCGCAGGGCGCAGCUUUAUACGACCGCAGAGGUUGAACCCUGAAUGGUUGGGGAAAGUAUGGACACAACAUUCAAGCUGGAUUCAGCUCUAAAUUUGGAUUGUGAUUAAAUAGUUGACACAGCAUAGGUUUCUGACACAGAAUGAAUGUGGUUCUAAUGAACUUAAAAAAAAAAAUUCACUAUGCUGUUGAAUAUUAAUCCUCUCAAAAAAAUGUUUGAAGAAAUUUUCUUUUUAUUUAUGAAAUCUGAAAUGAGAAAAAUUGCCCCCCCCC